AGGACGAACGCUGGCGGCGUGCUUAACACAUGCAAGUCGAGCGAGGCUCCUCCUUCGGGAGGAAGCCCUAGCGGCGAACGGGUGAGUAACACGUGGGCAACCUGCCCCUAGCACUGGGAUAACCCCGGGAAACCGGGGCUAAUACCGGAUACGACUUCGGAAGGCAUCUUCUGAAGUGGAAAAGGUUACUGGCUAGGGAUGGGCCCGCGGCCUAUCAGCUUGUUGGUGGGGUAAUGGCCCACCAAGGCGACGACGGGUAGCCGGCCUGAGAGGGCGACCGGCCACACUGGGACUGAGACACGGCCCAGACUCCUACGGGAGGCAGCAGUGGGGAAUAUUGCACAAUGGGCGAAAGCCUGAUGCAGCGACGCCGCGUGAGGGAUGACGGCCUUGGUUGUAAACCUCUUUCAGCAGGGACGAAGCGAAAGUGACGGUACCUGCAGAAGAAGCACCGGCCAACUACGCGCCAGCAGCCGC
rnacentral:rRNA from 1 species